CUGAAAUGAACAAGGCGCGGCCAAGAAUCCCCUUCACACGUGCAGACAAAGAGCGCCAACAACACAACCCAAAUAUGCACUUUUAAACUUUUUCAAACGCAAUGGACGACUUCCACGAACAUUGGAAAUGCAACGGUGGGUUGAAACUUGUUUUAUUUGGAAAGCUUUUUUUUCGGGAGGCCUAAAUUGGAAAAAGGACCUUGGAGCCGUACCUUCACAACAGGAUUUUAGCUGCAGGUCCUUUGAAUAACCAUCUACACUGUGGUGGAUUUACCCGCGACCCGGACCGGACUCAUGGAAUCGGAAUUGGAUUAUAUCUGCAGGCGCACAUCACAACAAAGGCUCUCCAAAUUGGAUAGGCGUCUCAUCGGACCCUCAAGGACAACAUGGAGACUAACCCCAGGUCAGCAGAAGGUCAAGCCCACUGCCCUGCCCGAAGUUAGAGGUCAGGGGUUAAAGGUCAUGUCCUGUUGACCCUGCGUGUGAGAUAAGCGGGCUAGGCUGGGAGCAGGGAGCCCCUGGUGGAAGGACCUGGCUCUGGACCACGGUUGUCAUUGGCAGCUUGUCAGGCUGAGCAGAGCUGGACAGCAGGAGGUAGCUAUGGUGUGCUGUGUUAUAUCCAAGUUGUGUGUGUGUGUGUGUGUCUGUGUGUGUGUGUGUGCUGUGUGUGUGUGUGUGUGUGUGUGUGUGUGUGUGUGUGUGUGUGUGUGUGUGUGUGUGUGCUGUAUGUGUGUGUGUGAGAGAGAUAUGUCGAGGCGGACUGGUUUAUGACUUGUUCCUGUGAACCUCACUCACAUCUCAUGCAACACUGAAUGUGAAGAGCUUCGUAGCCAGGGACAUUCAUCCAAUUGAUAUUGUUGUUUACUAUUAUCCAGGCUAUUAGAACCAAGUGGACAGAAUGGGUUAUUGUUGUUUAUUAUUAUCAUUCAAUGAUCCUCAGAUUUUAU
ensembl:lncRNA